UCAUUGGAUAAGCGUUUUAAAGGCAUUGAGGAGAAACCUUUUUAUAUAGUGGUGACACUGUUUGAUCCAUAAUUUCAAACUAAACUCUUCUCAUUACAGGCAACACUGACAGGUGAAAAAGCAAGAUUGAAGUCAAUGAGCAUGCUGAGCAGUAGAUUAACUUCUGAGCAUGAGAUUACAGAUUUUAUCAAUUUCUUUGCAACUGCCGCCUGGUGACAACAUUUUUGUGAAGACCUUCAUAGCUUGUCAAGGAGUGAUUUUAUGGUUUGGCGCCAGAACCAUCCUGUGCCUAAAUCAAAAUGGAUCUUUUGUAUGGAAGAAUGCCUAGAAUAAAGACAAAGACUUUCCUAAAUUUAAACCUCAGCUUACUAGUGGCUGAAAGGAUAGCAGAAAAGGUGGUAAAAGGAAUGGCAAAAAAAAAAAAGCAUUUGUAACCACUUAUCUGUUAAUCUAUAUAUACACUUAUCAAAAUAUGUAUGUAGAUACAUAUAUAGGUAUAUCUACAUCAACUAUUGGUAGGUGUAUGUAUAAUGUGUAUACAUAUAAUUUUUUAUAAGUUUGUAUUUGCAUAUAGUCUUUUUGUGUAUUAAGUUCAACCCAACCCAAGGUAUAGCAAUCACAUUUAAUG